rnacentral:rRNA from 1 species
UACGUAGGGUGCGAGCGUUAAUCGGAAUUACUGGGCGUAAAGCGUGCGCAGGCGGUUGUGCAAGACAGAUGUGAAAUCCCUGGGCUUAACCUGGGAACUGCAUUUGUGACUGCACGGCUAGAGUGUGUCAGAGGGGGGUAGAAUUCCACGUGUAGCAGUGAAAUGCGUAGAUAUGUGGAGGAAUACCGAUGGCGAAGGCAGCCCCCUGGGAUAACACUGACGCUCAUGCACGAAAGCGUGGGGAGCAAACAGG